AGGGCAGGAUGCCGGAUAACGUCCGGUGGAGGCGACUCCAAGGCCAGUGCAACAGAAAUAAACCGCCAGGGUUCAUCCCGGGUAAGGGUGGAAAGGCAGUGUAAGAGACUACCGCCCGUCUGGUAACAGGCGGGGCACAUGUAAACCCCAUCCGAAGCAAGACCAAGCAGAAGCGUAUGGUGGCCCGCCAGCUUCAGGUAGGUCGCUGGAGCGUGCUGGCAACAACACGCCAAGAUAGAUGAUUGUCCACGACAUAACCCGGCUUAUCGGCUUGCUUAUUGC
rnacentral:RNase_P_RNA from 1 species